AAUAACACAGAGAGGCUUUGGGGUCAGCACAGUCAGGAGGAGACCUUUUGGUUUAAGGGAAAUCCUCGCAUGGGAACAAGACGAGGUCAAAUCUACGCUGUGUUAAACUACCUUCCGGUGGGUAAAGCGACAUGAAACAGAGACAAGAAAAUGAAUCAAUAAAUAAGCACCAUCUCGCUCUACCUUUCUAUCAUAAAAGCACUGCCCUUUAUUUAUUCAACGAUUACAAAAUUUAUUGGUUGAAGAAGCAAAGAGAGUAUACUAUUUAUUAAGUUUGAGCCAUUAUUGAAAAGCUACACACAAAAGUAGACCCGAUGAGAUGUAGUUUUUAUUAGGACAAACGACAAUAAUUUUUGUUUGGGUCUGACAGAAGACAAUAAUCAAAUGAUUAAUACUGCACUGUACUUAAACAUUUCCAAUUCAUUACUCAUUACCUUUAAUUAAUUUGUUUCUGCUUUCCUGGGUUGCCACUGUCAUGGUGGCUAUGGAACAAGAUCAUCUCGUGACCACCUUCAAACCCAUCAUAAUAUUUGUUUAAUUUAAGUAAAGCAUAUCUCAAUAAAGUCAGUAGAUUAUAUA